GAUGAACGCUGGCGGCGUGCCUAAUACAUGCAAGUCGAGCGAACGGACGAGAAGCUUGCUUUUCUGAUGUUAGCGGCGGACGGGUGAGUAACACGUGGAUAACCUACCUAUAAGACUGGGAUAACUUCGGGAAACCGGAGCUAAUACCGGAUAAUAUUUUGAACCGCAUGGUUCAAAAGUGAAAGACGGUCUUGCUGUCACUUAUAGAUGGAUCCGCGCUGCAUUAGCUAGUUGGUAAGGUAACGGCUUACCAAGGCAACGAUGCAUAGCCGACCUGAGAGGGUGAUCGGCCACACUGGAACUGAGACACGGUCCAGACUCCUACGGGAGGCAGCAGUAGGGAAUCUCCCGCAAUGGGCGAAAGCCUGACGGAGCAACGCCGCGUGAGUGAUGAAGGUCUUCGGAUCGUAAAACUCUGUUAUUAGGGAAGAACAUAUGUGUAAGUAACUGUGCACAUCUUGACGGUACCUAAUCAGAAAGCCACGGCUAACUACGUG
rnacentral:rRNA from 1 species